GUGGCGGCCAAUGGCCCAGCAGUCAAGAUGGGUGAGCAGAGCAGGCAAAGGUGUUGUAGUGAGGUACUGUUGUGGUGGGGUGUGGUUUUGGCAUCACCUCAAGGUGUGGUUGUCUCAGGUUUUGCAGGAAGUUGUGAAGAGGAGAAGUAGAGUGCUGAGAAGAGCCCGAGCAGGUAUGGUGUGGGCCUUUCCCAAGCGUGGCUGAGGAUUUCAGGUGCCAUGGGCUUCCCCCCAGCCAGGAUGCUGGUGUUUGGAAUUGGCGCAGUUCAGGUGAAGGCAAAUGUGGCAAGCAAAGGAAGAUCGGAG